UGAAGUAAGUAAGGGCGUACGGUGAAUGCCUUGGUGCCAACAGGCGAAGAAGGACGCGGCAAGCUGCGAAAAGCCUCGGGAAGCUGCAAGCAAGCGAUGAUCCGGGGAUAUCCGAAUGGGGUAACCUGAUCGAGGCAAUACUCGAUCGUUCAUACCUGAAUACAUAGGGUAUGAAACGCGAAACCCGCUGAAGUGAAACAUCUCAGUAAGCGGAGGAAAAGAAAGAGAAAUCGAUUCCGUAAGUAGUGGCGAGCGAAAGCGGAUGGAGCCCAAACCGAAGGUAUUCCUUCGGGGUUGUAGGACCACGACCUAUUCGACCAUACUGGAUAGUAGAACAGCCUGGAAAGGCUGGCCGUAGAAGGUGAAAGCCCUGUAGACGAAAUCCAGAGUGGGAAUUAGUGGUAUCCUGAGUAAUACAUCACACGUGGAACGAUGUAUGAAACCGCGCGGACCACCGCGCAAGGCUAAAUACUAGUUGGCGACCGAUAGUGAACAAGUACCGCGAGGGAAAGGUGAAAAGAACCGCUGUGAGCGGAGUGAAAUAGAACCUGAAACCGUAUGUCUACAAAGUGUCAGAGCAGAGCAAUCUGCGAUGGCGUGCCUUUUGUUUAAUGAGUCUGCGAGUCAGUGUUUGUGGCAAGACUAAGGGCUUCCGGCCCGGAGUCGCAGCGAAAGCAAGUCCGAACAGGGCGCAAUAAGUCGCAGGUACUGGACCCGAAGCGGAGGUGACCUACCCUUGGCCAGGUUGAAGCAUGGGUAAAACCAUGUGGAGGACCGAACAGGUGAACGUUGAAAAGUUCUCUGAUGAGCUGAGGGUAGGAGUGAAAGGCUAAUCAAACCCCGUGAUAGCUGGUUCUCUUCGAAAUGCAUUUAGGUGCAGCGUCACGUGCUGAUGCGCGGGGGUAGAGCACUGACAAGGCUAGGGGGCACACCCGCUUACCAAACCUUAUCAAACUCCGAAUACCGUGCAAUGGAACGUGGCAGUGAGACAGUGGGGGAUAAGCUUCAUUGUCGAGAGGGAAACAACCCAGACCAGCAGCUAAGGUGCCUAAAUAACGCUCAGUGGAAAGGAUGUGGGAUUACACAGACAGUGAGGAUGUUGGCUUAGAAGCAGCCACCAUUUAAAAAAUGCGUAAUAGCUUACUCAUCGAGUGAUCCUGCGCCGAAAAUGAUUGGCGAUCAAGCGUUAUACCGAAGCUCUGGACUUUGCCGCAAGGCAGAGUGGUAGAAGAGCGUUGCAUGCGCGUCGAAGGGUGAUGGCGACUGACCCUGGAGCACAUGCAAGUGAGUAUGCAGACAUGAGUAACGUUAAGCCGGGUGAAAUCCCCGGCCGCCGUAAACCCGAGGUUUCCAGGGCAACGUGUUUCGUCCCUGGGUUAGCCGGGACCUAAGCCGAGGCCGAGAGGCGUAGGCGAUGGACAUCAGGUUAAUAAUCCUGAGCUCGCGACCCUUAAACUGGGGGGACGCAUGAGAAAAGAUGACUAGGUUAUUGAAUUCCGAGUUGAGUCUACGGACUCAGCGCAUCAUUGGAUCGAGUGCCAAGAAAAGCCCCAGCGUAUGCUAAGCGACCCGUACCGCAAACCGACACAGGUGGGUGGGUAGAAUAUACCAAGGCGUAAGAGUGAAACCUGGUUAAGGAACUCGGCAAAUUAGCCCCGUAACUUCGGAAGAAGGGGUGCCUGCAGCGAUGCAGGCCGCAGAGAAAUGGCCCAACCGACUGUUUAUCAAAAACACAGCACUCUGCAAAGACGCAAGUCGAAGUAUAGGGUGUGACACGUGACCAAUGCCGAAAGAUUAAGGCAAGGGGUUAGCCGCAAGGCGAAGCUCUGAACCCAAGUCCCGGUGAAUGUCGGCCGUAACUAUAACGGUCCUAAGGUAGCGAAAUUCCUUGUCGGGUAAGUUCCGACCUGCACGAAUCGUGAAACGAGUUGGGCACUGUCUCAACCAGGCGCUCAGUGAAAUUGUAGUGGCGGUGAAGAUGCCGCCUACCCGCAGAAGGACGGAAAGACCCUAUAGACCUUAACUGUAAGCUGUCAUUGUUUCUUCGGUUUUAAUGCUCAGAGUAAGUGGGAGACGCUGAAGACGCCCUUUAGGGGGCGUCCGAGUCAUCAAUGAGACACCACCCUUUGAAACUGGAGGAUCUAACCCUGAGCCGUGAAUCCGGCCAGAGGACCGUGUCAGCCGGUCAGUUUUACUGGGGCGGUAUCCUCCCAAAGAGUAACGGAGGAGCGCGAAGGUGGGCUCAGCCCGGUUGGCAACCGGGUGUCGAGUGCAUGGGCAUAAGCCCGCCUAACUGUGAGACCAACAAGUCGAGCAGAUGCGAAAGCAGGCCCAAGUGAUCCGGCGGUAGAAAGUGGAAUUGCCGUCGCUCAACGGAUAAAAGGUACCUUAGGGAUAACAGGCUGAUCACGCCCAAGAGUUCAUAUCGACGGCGUGGUUUGGCACCUCGAUGUCGGCUCGUCGCAUCCUGGGGCU
rnacentral:rRNA from 1 species